rnacentral:rRNA from 1 species
GACGAACCGAGCGAACGUUGUUCGGAAUCACUGGGCUUAAAGGGCGCGUAGGCGGGCUGCCGCGUCCGGGGUGAAAUCCCACGGCUCAACCGUGGAACGGCCCCGGGUACGGGCGGCCUCGAGGGGGGUAGGGGCGUGCGGAACUGUGGGUGGAGCGGUGAAAUGCGUUGAUAUCCACAGGAACUCCGGUGGCGAAGGCGGCACGCUGGACCCCUUCUGACGCUGGGGCGCGAAAGCCAGGGGAGCGAACGGG